rnacentral:rRNA from 1 species
GAUGAACGCUGGCGGCGUGCCUAAUACAUGCAAGUCGAGCGAACAGAUGAGGAGCUUGCUCCUCUGACGUUAGCGGCGGACGGGUGAGUAACACGUGGAUAACCUACCUAUAAGACUGGGAUAACUUCGGGAAACCGGAGCUAAUCCCGGAUAAUAUAUUGAACCGCAUGGUUCAAUAGUGAAAGACGGUUUUGCUGUCACUUAUAGAUGGAUCCGCGCCGCAUUAGCUAGUUGGUAAGGUAACGGCUUACCAAGGCAACGAGGCGUAGCCGACCUGAGAGGGGGGUCGGCCACACGGGAACUGAGACACGGUCCAGACGCCUACGGGAGGCAGCAGUAGGGAAUCGUCCGCAAUGGGCGAAAGCCUGACGGAGCAACGCCGCGUGAGUGAUGAAGGUCUUCGGAUCGUAAAACUCUGUUAUUAGGGAAGAACAAAUGUGUAAGUAACUAUGCACGUCUUGACGGUACCUAAUCAGAAAGCCACGGCUAACUACGUG